AUUGAACGCUGGCGGCAGGCUUAACACAUGCAAGUCGAGCGGAGAUGAGGUGCUUGCACCUUAUCUUAGCGGCGGACGGGUGAGUAAUGCUUAGGAAUCUGCCUAUUAGUGGGGGACAACAUUCCGAAAGGAAUGCUAAUACCGCAUACGUCCUACGGGCGAAAGCAGGGGAUCCUCGGACCUUGCGCUAAUAGAUGAGCCUAAGUCGGAUUAGCGAGUUGGUGGGGUAAAGGCCUACCAAGGCGACGAUCUGUAGCGGGUCUGAGAGGAUGAUCCGCCACACUGGGACUGAGAAACGGCCCAGACUCCUACGGGAGGCAGCAGUGGGGAAUAUUGGACAAUGGGGGGAACCCUGAUCCAGCCAUGCCGCGUGUGUGAAGAAGGCCUUAUGGUUGUAAAGCACUUUAAGCGAGGAGGAGGCUACUGAGACUAAUACUCUUGGAUAGUGGACGUUACUCGCAGAAUAAGCACCGGCUACUCUGUGCCAGCCGCCGCGGUAAUAC
rnacentral:rRNA from 1 species